rnacentral:rRNA from 1 species
GACAGAGGUGCCGAGCGUUAGGCGGAAUCACUGGGCUUAAAGCGUGUGUAGGCGGGUCGUUAAGUGUCUUGUGAAAUCCCACCGCUCACCGGUGGAACGGCUGGGCAUACUGGCGACCUUGAGAGGCCUAGGGGCAGACGGAACGAAGCGGUGGAGCGGUGAAAUGCGUAGAUAAUCGGGGAGGAACGCCGGUGGCGAAAGCGACUGGCUGGGGUGCCUGUGACGCGUGAGGCGACCGGAA